UACGGGGGGGGCAAGCGUUGUUCGGAAUUACUGGGCGUAAAGGGCUCGUAGGUGGCCAACUAAGUCAGACGUGAAAUCCCUCAGCUUAACUGGGGAACUGCGUCUGAUACUGGAUGGCUUGAGUUUGGGAGAGGGACGCGGAAUUCCAGGUGUAGCGGUGAAAUGCGUAGAUAUCGUAAGGAAGACCAGUGGCGAAGGCGGGUCUCUGGACAGUUCCUGACGCUGAGGCACGAAGGCCAGGGGAGCAAACGGGG
rnacentral:rRNA from 1 species